UACGAAGGGGGCUAGCGUUGCUCGGAAUCACUGGGCGUAAAGGGUGCGUAGGCGGGUCUUUAAGUCAGGGGUGAAAUCCUGGAGCUCAACUCCAGAACUGCCUUUGAUACUGAGGAUCUUGAGUUCGGGGAGAGGUGAGUGGAACUGCGAGUGUAGAGGUGAAAUUCGUAGAUAUUCGCAAGAACACCAGUGGCGAAGGCGGCUCACUGGCCCGGUACUGACGCUGAGGUGCGAAAGCGUGGGGAGCGAACAGG
rnacentral:rRNA from 1 species